rnacentral:tRNA from 1 species
GCGGGCGUGGCGGAAUUGGUAGACGCGCUAGACUUAGGAUCUAGUAUCUUAGAUGUGUAGGUUCGAGUCCUAUCGCCCGUA